rnacentral:rRNA from 1 species
AACAUGCAAGUCGAACGGCAGCACGGGGAGCAAUCCUGGUGGCGAGUGGCGAACGGGUGAGUAAUACAUCGGAACGUGUCCUGGAGUGGGGGAUAGCCCGGCGAAAGCCGGAUUAAUACCGCAUACGAUCUCGGGAUGAAAGCGGGGGACCGAAAGGCCUCGCGCUCAAGGGGCGGCCGAUGGCAGAUUAGCUAGUUGGUGGGGUAAAGGCCUACCAAGGCGACGAUCUGUAGCUGGUCUGAGAGGACGACCAGCCACACUGGGACUGAGACACGGCCCAGACUCCUACGGGAGGCAGCAGUGGGGAAUUUUGGACAAUGGGGGCAACCCUGAUCCAGCAAUGCCGCGUGUGUGAAGAAGGCCUUCGGGUUGUAAAGCACUUUUGUCCGGAAAGAAAACCGCUUCUCUAAUACAGAGGUGGGAUGACGGUACCGGAAGAAUAAGCACCGGCUAACUACGUGCCAGCAGCCGCGGUAAUACGUAGGGUGCAAGCGUUAAUCGGAAUUACUGGGCGUAAAGCGUGCGCAGGCGGUUCGCUAAGACCGAUGUGAAAUCCCCGGGCUUAACCUGGGAACUGCAUUGGUGACUGGCGGGCUAGAGUAUGGCAGAGGGGGGUAGAAUUCCACGUGUAGCAGUGAAAUGCGUAGAGAUGUGGAGGAAUACCGAUGGCGAAGG